rnacentral:rRNA from 1 species
GAUUAUGGCUCAGGAUGAACGCUGGCGGCGUGCCUAACACAUGCAAGUCGAGCGGAGAUAAGUGAAGCUUAGCGAUCUAUCUAGCGGCGGAUGGGUGAGUAACACGUGGGUAACCUGCCCUGCACUGGGGAAUAACAGCUGGAAACGGCUGUUAAUGCCGCAUAUGCGCACGGAGCCGCAUGGCUUUGGGCGGAAAGAUUUAUCGGUGCAGGAUGGGCCCGCGCCGGAUUAACUAGUUGGCGGGGUAACGGCCCACCAAGGUGAUGAUCCGUAGCCGACCUGAGAGGGUGACCGGCCACAUUGGGACUGAGACACGGCCCAAACUCCUACGGGAGGCAGCAGUGGGGGAUAUUGCACAAUGGGGGAAACCCUGAUGCAGCGACGCCGCGUGAAGGAUGAAGUAUUUCGGUAUGUAAACUUCUAUCAGCGGGGAAGAAGAUGACGGUACCCGACUAAGAAGCCCCGGCUAACUACGUGCCAGCCGCUGC